GGAGCGCGCGCGGAACGACUCCAAGAAGGUAUUGGGCGCGAGACACUUGGACGUAGCGUUGUUAGGCAACCGCGGUUGUCUCACGUGACGCGGUCGGCGGAGUUCCGCGCACGGCCGCAGCUGUGGUCGAGUUUGGGGAGCUCGUGGAAUCGUGACUGGCAGCGGUGUUGGCGAAUUCGCUCGCAGGAACUGGUGGUGUCAGGGUCUGAGGCGUCCACGGAACCGGCGGGGGAUUGCGCGGCUGGACAGCAUCAGCAUUGUGCAGAGCAGCUUCCAGAGUGUCGGCCGUCUCAAUCGCCGUGCAUCAGCAGAUGGACACAGUCUAUAGCAGUGAGGAAUAGCGGCAUCGACUUCAUGGACCAUAUACAGGUUUCUAAGGAGGAGGUGUUAUCUGUCUAGAGACAAAUUAGGGUGGAUAAAUACAAGAGGACAUGGCUUUAAGGUAUUCUUCCCCAUUUUUCCCUGGAGAGAAAGUCUGAUGUUUGGAGUGCCUAACUGAAGCAGGCAUCAACAGUUCAUUUAGCAAUACUUGAAGAGAGCAGAAUACCGAGGAGGAACAUUAAGAGGAGAGAAUUUUCACUUCAGUGUGUGGCUUAACAAUUAAUGGGAGAUACUGAGGGAGUGAAGGUCAUAUCUCACUUAUUAUGUGACAUGAACAGAGAAGUCCGAUAAGAGCCAGAUGCAGCUUUGAGGAAGAAGAAGGAAUUACAUAUGUAAUGAGCCCUCUUGUUUGGCUCGAGGCAUCCAAACUUACAACCAAUAAAGUAAUCACAAAAUGUUGUCACAAGUUUCAUGUUUGUCCUUGGCAGCCUUCCGCAACAACGAGGCGGCAAUGAUCUGCUCUCCUGCUCCUCAAUGAUCCCCAGGCACGGGUGAUAGAUCGCUCAUUCUUCUCCUCUCCUCUGCGAAUGCAAGCCGGUUCUCCACAGCACAAUCUUAUGCUGAGAGCAGAAGUGAAAGUGAACCAGUCCAGGCUGGCAAGGCAUUUCCAGAACAAAGUGACUGGUGCUAUAUUUACAGCACAACCAUAGCAGGGAAGAUUUUAAGUUAGGUUCACCUUUGCAGUACAUGUCGGAGUCCCGCUCAGCAUUAAGUGGCUGGCUGCACUUACAGAAUGGGUUGUGCGAAUGAGCU